rnacentral:rRNA from 1 species
UUAUAUUAUAUUUAUUAAUUAAUAAAAUUUGUUUUUAAAAUAUUAAAAAUAAUUAUAAAAGUUAAAGUUUUAGUAUUGUUUAAAGAAAAAAUAAUUUUAAUUAUAGUUUAAUAGUAUUGUAAAAGAAAAUUGAAAUAUUAUGAAAAAUUAUUAUUUUAUAAGAAAAUUUAAUUUAUUGUACCUUGUGUAUCAGCGUUUAUUAAAUAAAAGUUAUUUAUAUAAUUUUCUCGAUUUUAAAAGAGUUAAUAUAGUAUAAAAGUUAUUGUGAUAAAAUUAUUUUAAAUAUUAUAUUAGAAAUGAAAUGUUAUUCGUUUUUAAAGGUAUCUAGUUUUUCAAGAAAUAAAUUUAAUUUAGAAAUUGUAAAUUUAUUUUAAAAAUUAUUUAAUGGAAUAAUUUACGAUUUUAAUAUUUUAUGGGAUAAGCUGUAAAAUAAAAUCUUAAAAAUAGUAAAUAAAUUUAAUAAAUAUAUGCUUAGAAGUAGCAAUUAUUUAUAAUUAUGUUAUAAUUUAUUUUAUAAAUUAAAUUAUUUAUUAAAUUUUAAAUUUAUAUUGAAAUAUUAAUUUAAAUUUUUUAAAUUAAGUAAUAAUGAUAAAAUUAGUAUAUUAUUAUGUAAAAGUAAAUUUUUUUGAAAAGUUAAAAUAAAG